rnacentral:lncRNA from 1 species
UACACAGUUGCCAGAGUCUCGUCUGCGGCUUCAUCUUCCACUGUCACACAUCCCGCAGUCUUACUUUCUCUGCAGCACGAGAUAACACUACUGAGUCUUUAAAGAUAAGUCAGUAAUCUCAUCUCCGACUUCGAGGUCUGCUUUGUCUGCCGGCGAUCCUGAGGGAGAGACAUCAGUGAGCAGUUUCUUCCGGACUCCCCGAAGAGCACAAUGCCUAACGCAACCAAUCUUGUGCAUGACGACCCAAAGCCCAUGCAGAAUGACCCGCGAAUGGCCUGCAGCUUCCGUUCCCAGCUAAGUUCCCGAGGCGAGGAGGCGUGCGGGCGU